CGAAGUGCACUGAUUCUGACUGCAACAUGUGUCACCCUGUGGAUCACCAGGUUUGAUUUGGCUGAUCUGGCUGGCUAGGCGUGUGUCCACUUCCUCCCUCACUGAUCUGUGUGCGUCCCUCCCAAAGCUGUGUGUUCGGUCAAAGAGAAUGCCUUCCCUGCUAGAGGGGAACUGGUCUUUGGUCAAGGGUCCAUGUGUAGCUGCGCUCCCCUGCUAGAACUUCCAAACAAGCUCUCAAAGUGCAUUGAUUCAAAUGUUAAUCUCACCCCAAAUCCAUGUUCACAGAGACACAGAGUAAUUUUUAAUCAUAUGU
ensembl:misc_RNA 7SK 7SK RNA